GUGUCCGUAAUAACUGAAAAGAGAAGGGGUGGUGCAUUGAAUAACAGGGUGUGGCACCAGAUCACAAAGCGGUCCGGAGAAUGUAGACUGCACCGCUCCUGUAUGUUUUUGCAGGUUUGCAACGUUUAAAAGUUCAGGGGAAAGUAUAUGCCUGUCUUCUGGGGUUGCUUAAAACAACAGCCUUUUGAGGGAGUGUUGUUUCUGAAUAUUAGUGUUGAGGGCCAAUAAUGCUUACUAUCAUACAUUAUUCACCAUGUCUGUGGACACAUUUGUAAGCAGUCACAUGUUAAUAUAUCCCCCCCCCCCCCCCCGUGAUAAUAUCUCACUCUGAACUCAGUUCAAAACUUGAGAGCCCUGUUUCCGUUGACUCCCGAGCUGCCCUAGCCCAAGCUAAAUCGUACAAUGAAUGGUUUAUUCUAUAUGAUUUGUAUUCUGUCAAUUUCUCUCGCACCACCCGUAUCAGACACCAUAGGAUGCCUUGAAGGCCUAAUCCGUAAAGAAACGAUACGAUGUAAAAACAUUUCAACCGGAGAUGGAUAUUAUAAAUACCCCUGGCCUUGGGUUGAAGUGUGUGAUAUUGAGCAUGAAGUUUACGCCGUCGAUCAGACGAAACUGGCUAACGGUAUUGGUGAACUCCCUCAACAAAAACUCUGUCGAAACCUGACAGUGAAAUGCUUUUACAAAAGUGAUGGCAAAAAUAAAGAAUUCUGCGCAAAAUUUGUCAUCGGUAAGAGAAAACGUGAUGCUUGUAACACUAUUAACUAA
rnacentral:lncRNA from 1 species